rfam:Drosophila melanogaster chromosome 2L.
CCUUCGAUAGCUCAGUUGGUAGAGCGGUGGACUGUAGAGUUUCCGAGGCUUGGUGAUGCGAGCAGAGGCAGGACUCUGGGCCAAACAAUACCAUGGCCCCAGAUAGCGCUUGCUCUUGUUUCAUCAGUUAGUGAAUCGCGAUAUGUUGAAAUCCAUAGGUCGCUGGUUCAAAUCCGGCUCGAAGGA